AUUUUUUCGGUUGGUCUUCUUUCAUAGAUCUACAUUUUCUUGCCUGAGAAUACAUAGGCCACCCAUGCCACCUGUCAACAUUAGAGACCACAAUCAAUGGGGAAGAAACAGACCUCAGGUUGUGACAUGGAUGGGCCCACCCCUAAUAGAACCAAGUGCCCUGGGGAGAGAUGUUGGUGGCAGUCUUAAUGUACCUUGUAGGUAGG